UACGGGGGGGGCAAGCGUUGUUCGGAAUUACUGGGCGUAAAGGGCUCGUAGGCGGCCAACUAAGUCAAACGUGAAAUCCCUCGGCUUAACCGGGGAACUGCGCUUGAUACUGGAUGGCUUGAGAUUGGGAGAGGGAUGCGGAAUUCCAGGUGUAGCGGUGAAAUGCGUAGAUAUCAGGAGGAACACCGGUGGCGAAGGCGCACACCUGGCCCGAUACUGACGCUGAGGCGCGAAAGCUAGGGGAGCAAACGGG
rnacentral:rRNA from 1 species